rnacentral:rRNA from 1 species
CGCACGGGUGAGUAACACGUAUCCAACCUGCCGUCUACUCUUGGCCAGCCUUCUGAAAGGAAGAUUAAUCCAGGAUGGCAUCAUGAGUUCACAUGUCCGCAUGAUUAAAGGUAUUUUCCGGUAGACGAUGGGGAUGCGUUCCAUUAGAUAGUAGGCGGGGUAACGGCCCACCUAGUCAACGAUGGAUAGGGGUUCUGAGAGGAAGGUUCCCCACAUUGGAACUGAGACACGGUCCAA